CUGGGGUAUUCAAGUCAUUUGAAGUUAUGUUUCAACAGAUUAAAAAUGCUUUAUAAUUUCUGGUUUUAGUGAUUCGUUAUCACCGUCAACCCUUUUUCAAAAGAUGCAGAAAAAAAUCUUUAACAAAUAAGUUGCAGAUCAAUCUGAGAAAACGUCAGGACACGGAAAAAAUGCAGUAUAAUGGAAUUAAAAUUUUGGACUGAAUUAAUUGUUACAUGCUCCUUGCUAAUAAAACACUUCAUUACUUGUUAAAAAUCAGAAUAUUAUGCAAUAAAUAAUAUGCAUUGUUUAA